AUUGAACGCUGGCGGCAGGCUUAACACAUGCAAGUCGAGCGGAGAGAGGUAGCUUGCUACUGAUCUUAGCGGCGGACGGGUGAGUAAUGCUUAGGAAUCUGCCUAUUAGUGGGGGACAACAUUUCGAAAGGAAUGCUAAUACCGCAUACGUCCUACGGGAGAAAGCAGGGGAUCUUCGGACCUUGCGCUAAUAGAUGAGCCUAAGUCGGAUUAGCUAGUUGGUGGGGUAAAGGCCUACCAAGGCGACGAUCUGUAGCGGGUCUGAGAGGAUGAUCCGCCACACUGGGACUGGGACACGGCCCAGACUCCUACGGGAGGCAGCAGUGGGGAAGAUUGGACAAUGGGCGCAAGCCUGAUCCAGCCAUGCCGCGUGUGUGAAGAAGGCCUUAUGGUUGUAAAGCACUUUAAGCGAGGAGGAGGCUACUUUAGUUAAUACCUAGAGAUAGUGGACGUUACUCGCAGAAUAAGCACCGGCUAACUCUGUGCCAGCCGCCGCAGUAAAAC
rnacentral:rRNA from 1 species